rnacentral:lncRNA from 10 species
UAACUUCUGAAGCUGUCUCAUAAGAAGCCUUGCAGAUUCUGCUCAUGUCUCUUUCCUCUCUGGGAAACAAGUCGCGACUCAGGGAUAAGCCUGAGACACAUGGAGAGAACAUCCUGAUCAAUCUGGUCUUUGCUGCUACCCUGGUCAACAGCCUGAGCUGGAUACCUGGCUGACAAGUACCACCUUUUUCCUACACAGAUGACAACCCAGCCCAUGAGCACCAGGAAGGAACUGAUGUGCUCAGCGUUCU